rnacentral:lncRNA from 1 species
CAUAUGUCUUGAGCAACCACUAUCAAGAUACCACAUUCUCUUUUUAUUCCCGGCUGCAAGGCAUACCUGCGAAAUAAUCAUCUGAAGCUCUUAGGUACCCAAGUUUUCUUGGGUCCUUCUUGGUUAGUGUAGUUUGUUCCCUUGGGCACCCAUACUUUAGUUGUGUUUUUACCUUUUACAAAUGUACUCUUGUUAGUUUGAAUCUUUCUUUGAAUACAAGAAUAGACUUUAUGUCCACUUUUUCCACAAUGAAAGCAUGUAGGUUUUUCAGUUUUGACAUCUUUUGCUUUCACAAAGAAAUUCUUUAGAUACUUUUGUUAUUUGCUAGUUUUAUAUCCUAAUCUGGCUUUAUUAAAAACAGCUCUUUGAUUUGAUAGAAUAAGAUUUAAUUUUUCAGAGCUUUGUGUAAAUUUCUCCACAAUUGGUUUGUACUUAUGUACCUCAUUUUUAAGAACCAAAUUUUCUUUAGCCAAUUCUUCCUUAUCAUUUUUAAGGGUUUCAACAUUUUGUGCAAGUGAGGCAUUACAAUUGAGUAAGGAUUUUACUUUUAGAUUCAAUUCCUUAAUUAGUGUUUUUGCCGUUUCAUUUUCAAUGCUAAGUUUUGAAUUUUCAUUUUCUAGGUCAAUGGUGUUAACAUUUUUAACGCUCUCCUUCUCAAUCAAUAGGUUUUAAUAUCAUCCUUUAGUCUUUGAUUGGAGGCUUUUAAUU